CCUACGGGAGGCAGCAGUGAGGAAUAUUGGUCAAUGGGCGUAAGCCUGAACCAGCCAAGUCGCGUGAGGGAUGAAGGUUCUAUGGACCGUAAACCUCUUUUAUAAGGGAAUAAAGUGUGGGACGUGUCCAGUUUUGUAUGUACCUUAUGAAUAAGGAUCGGCGAACUCCGGGCCAGCAGCCGCGGUAAUACGGAGGAUCAGAGCGUUAUCCGGAUUUAUUGGGUUUAAAGGGUGCGUAGGCGGCCUUUUAAGUCAGCGGUGAAAGUCUGUGGCUCAACCAUAGAAUUGCCGUUGAAACUGGGAGUCUUGAGUAUGUUUGAGGCUGGCGGAAUGCGUGGUGUAGCGGUGAAAUGCUUAGAUAUCACGCAGAACCCCGAUUGCGAAGGCAGCCAGCCAAGCCAUGACUGACGCUGAUGCACGAAAGCGUGGGGAUCAAACAGGAUUAGAUACCCUAGUAGUC
rnacentral:rRNA from 1 species